UCUCUCUCAGUCGCUGAAGCUGUGUGGGAGAGUAAAUGGCGGGAGAGAAGUUGCUGACGCUGCAGAUAGAUGACUUCCGAUAGACUCGGCCGAGCUCGUGAGUGGUAUCAUCGUGCUUGAACAGCUGAACUCUAAGCCUCCUCUGCUGCUGGGCUCAUCUUAUUUCAAAGGCGCGCAAGAGGAGAUGAUGGAGGCAGAGAGAGCAGAGACGAUGGAGGUAGAGAGAGAUGGGAGGUGAUGGAGGCGGAUAGAUGAGAGCUAUAUAGGACACAACGGACAGAUAACUGAGGAUAGGGUUCGUCCAAAAAAAGGUGAAAAUAGGGUUAGUGAAACGCUAUGGUUUACUUGUGCGCUGGUAUUUUAACAAGUUUCUCUUAUGGACCCAUAUACUAAAACAUAACCAAAUGUUUGGAACAUUGACUGAAGGAGUGUGAAGUUUUGAUAUAUUGGAACCCCAUAUUUUGUGA